AGAACGAACGCUGGCGGCAUGCCUAACACAUGCAAGUCGAACGCGUGUAGCGAUACACGAGUGGCGGACGGGUGAGUAACGCGUGGGAACCUGCCCUGGAGUGUGGGAUAACCGAGGGAAACUUCGGCUAAUACCGCAUACGACCUGAGGGUGAAAGAUUUAUCGCUCUAGGAGGGGCCCGCGUCGGAUUAGCUAGUUGGUGGGGUAAAGGCCUACCAAGGCAGUGAUCCGUAGCUGGUCUGAGAGGAUGAUCGGCCACACUGGGACUGAGACACGGCCCAGACUCCUACGGGAGGCAGCAGUGGGGAAUAUUGGACAAUGGGGGCAACCCUGAUCCAGCAAUGCCGCGUGAGUGAUGAAGGCCUUAGGGUUGUAAAGCUCUUUCGCGCGCGACGAUGAUGACGGUAGCGCGAGAAGAAGCCCCGGCUAACUUCGUGCCAGCAGCCGC
rnacentral:rRNA from 1 species